GACGAACGCUGGCGGCGUGCUUAACACAUGCAAGUCGAACGGUGAAGCGCCUUCCUUUUUGGUGGGUGUGGAUGAGAGGCGAACGGGUGAGUAACACGUGAGUAACCUGCCCCCUUCUUCUGGAUAACCGCAUGAAAGUGUGGCUAAUACGGGAUAUUCUGGGUCUGUCGCAUGAUGGGUCUGGGAAAGAUAUUGUUUCGGUGGGGGAUGGGCUCGCGGCCUAUCAGCUUGUUGGUGGGGUGAUGGCCUACCAGGGCGGUGACGGGUAGCCGGCCUGAGAGGGUGGACGGUCACACUGGGACUGCGACACGGCUCAGACUCCUACGGGAGGCAGACGUGGGGAGUAUUGCACAGUGGGCGCAAGCCUGAUGCAGCGGCGCCGCGUGAGGGAUGGAGGCCUUCGGGUUGUGAACCUCUUUCGCCAGUGAAGCAGGCCUGCCUCGUUUGUGGGUGGGUUGACGGUAGCUGGAUAAGAAGCGCCGGCUAACUACGUG
rnacentral:rRNA from 1 species